GCUGGGGUGGGUCAGGGAUAGAGUGCUCACCUAGCAUGUGUGAGGUCCUGGGUUCGAUCCUCAGCACCACA
rnacentral:tRNA from 1 species